GCCCGGGUGGUGAAAUUGGUAAACACGCUAGAUUCAGAUUCUAGUGAACGAUAAGUUCCUGUGAGUUCAAGUCUCAUUCCGGGCA
rnacentral:tRNA from 5 species